rnacentral:rRNA from 1 species
AUUGAACGCUGGCGGAAUGCUUUACACAUGCAAGUCGAACGGCAGCACGGACUUCGGUCUGGUGGCGAGUGGCGAACGGGUGAGUAAUGUAUCGGAACGUGCCCAGUCGUGGGGGAUAACGUAGUGAAAAUUACGCUAAUACCGCAUACGAUCUACGGAUGAAAGCGGGGGAUCGCAAGACCUCGCGCGAUUGGAGCGGCCGAUAUCAGAUUAGGUAGUUGGUGGGGUAAAGGCCCACCAAGCCAACCAUCUGUAGCUGGUCUGAGAGGACGACCAGACACACUGGAACUGAGACACGGUCCAAACUCCAACGGAAGGCAGCAGGGGGGAAUUUUGGACCAUGGACGAAAGCCUGAUCCCGCCAUUCCGCGUGCAGAAUGAAGGCCCUCGGGUUGUAAACUGCUUUCGUACAGAACAAAAAGGUUUCUACUAAUACUAGGAGCUCAUGACGGUACCUGCAGAAAAAGCACCGGCUAACUACGUGCCAGCCGCCGCCGUAA